ensembl:lncRNA LINC01320 long intergenic non-protein coding RNA 1320
GGGAAGGGACAAAUAAGGGAAUAAAACUGGCCACCCCAGCCGGCAGUGGCAACCCACUUGGGUGCCGUGAAAGCUUUGUUCUUUCGGUCUUCACAGUAGAUCUUGCUGCUGCUCACUUUUUGGGUCUGUGCCAUCUUUAAGAGUUGUAACACUCACCUCAAAGGUCUGCAGCUCCAUUCUUGAAGUCAAGGAGACCACGAACCCCCCAGAAGGAACCAACUCUGGACACAAAAGGAAAGGAAUAGCAGUUAUGUCUCAGGGUUUUUUGAGGAUCAAACUGGAAAAUGCUGUCAACUAUAGUUAUUAGUAUACAGUAUAAUGAAGAAUCUUGAGGUCCUCCUGGAUUACCAAAGUGGGCCCUAAAUCCAGUGGCAGAAGACACAGACACAGAGAGGAGACCAGGUGAAGACAAAAGAAGAGGCUGGAGUGAUGCAACCAUCAGAGAGUGAAAAUACUCAGUUACCUCCUGGUUUAUGAGGCAAUGAAGUAUUCCAGCACAUAAAUAUUGACGCUGAGACCCAUGGGAUGUAGGAGUGCUGAGCACAUUUGCAAGACAUAAAGACCGAAGUGCUGCAAAGGAUAACCUGUGCACGUGUAUCAGUAUAGAAUAAAUUAUUUGACAUGGAGUUGCUGCAUUUUAAAAACAGAUAUUGCCAGAUUACCCCAUAUGAAGAAUGCAUUGGAUUUCCGCUUGUACCAGCAAUGUGUGAGAGUCACUGUUCCCCUUUCCCUUAAAAGCAUGGAGUGUUAUCAAACAUUUUAAUCUUUAUCAAUCCGAUAGUUGCAAAAUAGUAUACCAGUACAGUUAUCUUUAAUUAUAACUAAGAUAUAUUGGU